rnacentral:rRNA from 1 species
AGGUUUGAUCCUGGCUCAGAUUGAACGCUGGCGGGAUGUGCUUUACAUGCAAGUCGAACGGCAGCACGGACUUCGGUCUGGUGAGUAGCGAACGGGUGAGUAAUAUGUAUCGGAACGUGCCUAGUAGCGGGGGAUAACUACGCGAAAGCGUAGCUAAUACCGCAUACGCCCUUCGGGAAAGCAGGGGGACCUUCCGGGCCUCGCAUAAUGGGAAGCGGCCGAUAUCGGAUUAGCUAGUUGGUGGGGUAACGGCUCACCGAGGCGACGAUCCGUAGCUGGUUUGAAGGACGACCAACCUCAGGACUGAGACACGGCCAGACUCCUACGGAGGCGGCAGUGGGGAAUUUUGGACAAUGGGGGAAACCCCCACAGUCCAGCCAUCCCGCGUGUGCGAUGAAGGCCUUCCGGGUUGUAAAGCACUUUUGGCAGGAGAAGAAACGGCACGGGAUAAUACCCCGUGCAACUGACUAUUACCUGCAGAAUAAGCACCGGCUAACUACGUGCCAGCAGCCGCGAUACGUAGGGCGCAAGCGUUAAUCGAAUUACUGGGCGUAAAGCUGCGCGGGCGGUUCGGAAAGAAGAAGAAGAUGUGAAAUCCCAGAGCUUAACUUUGGAGACAUUUUAACUACCGAGCUAGAGUGUCAGAGAGUGGAAUUCCGCGUGUAGCAGUGAAAUGCGUAGAUAUGCGGAGGAACACCGAUGGCGAAGGCGCAUCCUGGGAUAACGCUGACGCUCAUGCACGAAGCGACGAGGGCAAACUGAAGUUAGUACCCUGGUAGUCCGCGCCCUAAACGAUGUCAGCCUUAUUUGUUGGGGCCUUCGGGCCUUGGUAGCGCAACUAACGCGUGAGGAAGUUGACCGCCUGGGAAGCUACGGUCGCAGAUUAAAACUCAAGAUUGACGGGGACCCGCACAAGCGGUGGAUGAUGUGGAUUAAUUCGUGCCUUACCCAUGACAUGUCUGGAAUCCCGAAGAGGUUGGGAGUGCUCGCAAGAGAACCGGAACACAGGUGCUGCAUGGCUGUCGUCAGCUCGUGUGUCGUGAGAUCAUUUAGUCCGCAACGAGCGUACUUAAUGUCAUUAGUUGCUACGAAAGGGCACUCUAAUGAGACUGCCGUGUCUCCAAACCGGAGGAAGGUGGAAUGACGUCAAGUCCUCAUGGCCUUAUAAGGUAGAGACUUCGUCAUACAAUGGUCGGGACAGAGGGUCGCCAACCCGCGAGGGGGAGCCAAUCCCGAAACCCGAUCGUAGUCCGGAUCGCAGUCUGCAACUCGACUGCGUGAAGUCGGAGAAUCGCUAGUAAUCGGAUAUGUCGCGAUGAGCCUACGUUCCCGGGUCUUUACCGCCCGUCACCAUGGGGGUGGGUUUACCAGAAGUAGUUAGCCUAACUGCCGUAGGGCGAUUACAGUAGGAUUCAUGACUGGGGUGAAGUCGUAACAAGGUAG